CGCCGCUGGAGAUCCUUUCCUGCUUUUGGUUUCCCUGGCAGGGGUUGAACUGUGGAGUGUGUGGAUGCAGGUCAGCAGUGUCCUCAGGCCCAGGAGGGGAGCACGGUGGAUGGAGAGUGCUACAGCGUGAGCAGGCAAAUGCCAGAAGGUGGCCCCGAGGUGAAGCCACGGUCAAAGCUGAGAACUACAGUCUGACCUGCAGAUGCCAAUCUGGGAAACUAAAUGGAGAGAGUGAAGUCAGGGGGCCAAAACUUGCUACAGGCCAGCCCUGACAAGCCAGAGGGUAGAGGAAGACAAGUGUGAAAAGAGGAGGGUGAAAAGGGACAGGCAGAGAAGGGAGGGGAGCCUGAGGACCUGGCCAAGGCUGGAAACCUGUGCUUUGUUUUCUCCAUGUCAUUUUGUGAUGAUGCCCUAACUUAAAUAGAACCAACAAUAAAAAGCCACUCAGCUCCCUCUCCACCCUCCAGCUCCACCAAGAUGGCCUUAUCUCAGGCCCUUGUCUUUUACCUGUACUGGCCACCAGAUGCCCUGAGCUCUUCCCCUUUAGCCUGCCUUCCAAUGUCUACCUAGAAAUGGCUUCCCUCUCCCUCUCACUCCUGCAAUGGACCCAAAUCAUUUCCCAGUGGGAAGAUAUUUUUAUUUUUAUUUUUUGAGAUGGAGUUUCACUCUUGUCACCCAGGCUGGAGUGCAAUGGUGCUACCUUGGCUCACUGCAACCUCUACCUCCUGCGUUCAGGCGAUUCUCUUGCCUCAGCCUCCCAAGUAGCUGGGAUUACAGGCGCCCGCCACCAUGCCCAGCUAAUUUUUGUAUUUUUAGUAGAGAUGGGGUUUCACCAUGUUGGCCAGGCUGGUCUCAAACUCCUGACCUCAAGUGAUCUGCCCACCUCGACCUCCCAAAGUGCUAAGAUUAUAGGUGUGAGCCACCACACCCAGCCGAAAGAUGUUUUUCUAAUGUCAGUAACACAUGUGAACCCAAUUGAUUAGUAGUUGUAAUUUUGGCAGAAAUUGUGACCUAAAGGAGGUGUGAGUUCUGCAAUAAAUGGUUAUUUUAUUACUCUCAACAGUAUCUCCAAACAUUUGAAAAACAGUGGUGUGUAUUUUUUAUUAGACCAUGAUUGCUUUGUCUUCAGGCAAUCCUUGUUGCUCCUGGGGAUUCAGGGACCUUUGCAAAAACACAAUAGACCCCUGGCUGGGAAGGCUAGUCUAGACUAAGGAUCACUUCCGACUGCUUAGCAGGGUACCUGCCAGGCCCGAAAUGAUCUUUCAGUCCCUUCCUUCUGCUUUUGCAAUCGGACGCUCCCACUGAUACCCAUAAUUAUAUGUCUGUUUAAAUAACAGUAAUAACUGUGAAGAAAAAUGUUGCCAUGGAAUCAAGGAGAAGGUAUUUCAGAGUAGAACAGAAGUAGACAGAAUUUCCAAACAUGACCUGAGUAUCCCCACCCAGAUGUCCUACCAACAUCUUAAACUUGAUACACAUUUAAAAUUGUACUUCUCUUUCUCCUCCCCAUAACUGAGCUGCACUGCCCAUCUUUUAGUUCCCUAUAAAUGCAAACCUUUGGAUUUAGUUUUCCUUGUGCUUUUUUCACUUUUUUUUUUUUAAUGCAGAGUCUCACUAUGUUGCCCAGGCUAGACUCAAACUCCUGGGCUCAAGUGAUUCUCCCGCCUCAGCCUCACGAGUAGUUGGGACUGCAGAUGAGAGAACCAUGGCGCACAACGCCUGGCUCUUCCUUGUUCUUUACAUGGCAAAUUGCUAAGUCUAGUUGAUUCUGUUGUAAUGCCCAACCUUGUUUUUACUAACCCUGUUUUUAGACUCUCCCUUUUCCUUUAAUCACCUAGCCUUGUUUCCACCUGAAUUAACUCUCCCUUCGCUAAGAGAGCCAGACAGACUCCAUCUUCGCUCUUUCACUGGCAGCCCCUUCCUCAAGGACUUAACUUGUGCAAGCUGACUCCCAGCACAUCCAAGAAUACAAUUAACUGAUAAGAUACUGUGGCGAGCAAUAUCCGCAAUUCCCAGGAAUUCGUCUGAUUGAUAACGCCCAAAGCCCCGCGUCUAUCACCUUGUAAUAGUCUUAAAGCCCCUGCACCUGGAACUGUUUACUUUCCUGUAACCAUUUAUCCUUUUAACUUUUUUGCCUACUUUAUUUCUGUAAAAUUGUUUUAACUAGACUCCCCUCCCCUUUCUAAACCAAAGUAUAAAAGAAAAUCUAGUCCCUUCUUCGGGGCCGAGAGAACUUUAAGCGUUAGCUGUCUCUUGGCCGCUGGCUAAAUAAAUGCACUCUUA
rnacentral:lncRNA from 1 species